CCCGUAUCUCGCCAUUUUCUGUUUCUUUGUUUUAUAAGUUUGAAAAGUGGAAAAUGAAAUUUAAAGCUUGUUAAAAUAGUUAAGUGACGUGCAUCAACCACCUGCUGGCAGAACUGGAAUUUCACAAGCACAUUGCACAAAAAAUUGCCCAGAAAAAGAUAAUGGGGAGGGCAUUAAAACAUGUCGCGGCAUGCAAAUGAGAGACUA